CUGUUUGGUACCGUUUUCAAACCUCUAUUUUCGUUUUUGUUUUAUAAAUACAAUUGAAAAACAUGUUUGGUGGGCUAAACUCAGAAACAAAUUAUAAAACAAAAAAUUCGGAUUCAGCUUUCCAGUUGUAAAGUUGAAAACGUGUUUAAUGCGUUUUCAAAUGAAUUUACAGUUCACACUCAAGAACAAACUACAGAACAAAUCUCGGCUCGUGUUCUCUUCAUCAACAGCU
rnacentral:lncRNA from 1 species